CAGCAGCCGUCGCUGUAUUCCAAAUCUGUUUAAAAAACGAUCAGGCGGCGCUGGCACCGCGCUAAUCCUGACCAAUACUUCAGGUGUUGGCGCGGCACACCCCCCAGUGGCGCGCCGAUAAAGGUGCUCAGGGACCGCGUACCUUUGUUUUACUCCUAAUGGUCUUAACCCGGAUUCCCCCCCCAGAACCCGG
rnacentral:sRNA from 1 species